CCUACGGGAGGCAGCAGUAGGGAAUCUUCCGCAAUGGACGAAAGUCUGACGGAGCAACGCCGCGUGAGUGAAGAAGGUUUUCGGAUCGUAAAACUCUGUUGUCAGGGAAGAACAAGUACGGGAGUAACUGCCCGUACCUUGACGGUACCUGGCCAGAAAGCCACGGCUAACUACGUGCCAGCAGCCGCGGUAAUACGUAGGUGGCAAGCGUUGUCCGGAAUUAUUGGGCGUAAAGCGCGCGCAGGCGGCCUUUUUAAAGUCUGAUGUGAAAGCCCCCGGCUCAACCGGGGAGGGUCAUUGGAAACUGGAAGGCUUGAGUGCAGAAGAGAAGAGCGGAAUUCCACGUGUAGCGGUGAAAUGCGUAGAGAUGUGGAGGAACACCAGUGGCGAAGGCGGCUCUUUGGUCUGUAACUGACGCUGAGGCGCGAAAGCGUGGGGAGCAAACAGGAUUAGAUACCCUGGUAGUCCACGCCGUAAACGAUGAGUGCUAAGUGUUGGGGGGUUUUCCGCCCGUCAGUGCUGCNGCUACGCAUAGCACUCCGCCGNGGGAGGUACGGCCGCGAGCGNGAACGACGAAUAGAGUUAGACGGCGUGAGACGUGACCGACGGACGACGACGAGGGAGGAGG
rnacentral:rRNA from 1 species